rnacentral:rRNA from 1 species
GAUGAACGCUGGCGGCGUGCCUAAUACAUGCAAGUCGAGCGAACAGACGAGGAGCUUGCUCCUCUGACGUUAGCGGCGGACGGGUGAGUAACACGUGGAUAACCUACCUAUCAGACUGGGAUAACUUCGGGAAACCGGCGCUAAUACCGGAUAAUAUCUUGAACCGCAUGGUUCAAUAGUGAAAGACGGUUUUGCUGUCACUUAUAGAUGGUUCCGCGCCGCAUUAGCUAGUUGGUAAGGUAACGGCUUACCAAGGCAACGAUGCGUAGCCGACCUGAGAGGGUGAUAGGCCACACGGGAACUGAGACACGGUCAAGACGCCUACGAGAGGGAGCAGUAGGGAAUCGUACGCAAUGGGCGAAAGCAUGACGGAGCAACGCCGCGUGAGAGAUGAAAGUCUUCGGAUCGUAAAACUCUGUUAUUAGGGAAGAACAAAUGUGUAAGUAACUAUGCACGUCUUGACGGUACCGAAUCAGAAAGCAACGGCUAACUACGUG